rnacentral:lncRNA from 10 species
CAUCCUGGAACACUCCCCAAACACUUUCACUAGGGUCAUCCUGCUCUGCCUUCAGAGUUAGCUCACUCUUCACUUUCUCAAGGAAGCCCUGACCCACCUUCCUAAGUCUCUCCCACAUGUCAACUUAGGGCAACAGAUGUAUCUUCUUAAUAGGACUUACGAUAUUUUCUUUUCUUUUUUCACCUGUAUCUCUUUCCAUCUUGUCCUCCUCCUCCUGUCCACCGAAGAUUACCAUGCAUGAUUG